rnacentral:misc_RNA from 1 species
UAGACAGAAAGAGCAGGGAGUGCUAGAGAACCAGCAAGGGAGGAAAUGAAAACAAUGCUAGCAGUAUUUCCACAUGCUUUCAAAAGAGGAUAAGCAAUUUGAGUGAUGUGGAAAGGUGAAUCUACAUUGGUUCCCAUAAUUUUUGAAUAAUCUUCCACACUUAUAUCUGCUGUUCUUUUUAUCAUACUUAUUGCUGCAUUAUUCACCAGUAUAUUGAGCUUUCCCUCAAAAACAGAGGAAACAUUGUGAAUAAGUUGUUCUCUCUGUUCUUUAAAA